GCGUAAUAGCUCACUGGUCGAGUCGGCCUGCGCGGAAGAUGUAACGGGGCUAAACCAUGCACCGAAGCUGCGGCAGCGACACUAUGUGUUGUUGGGUAGGGGAGCGUUCUGUAAGCCUGUGAAGGUGUGCUGUGAGGCAUGCUGGAGGUAUCAGAAGUGCGAAUGCUGACAUAAGUAACGAUAAAGCGGGUGAAAAGCCCGCUCGCCGGAAGACCAAGGGUUCCUGUCCAACGUUAAUCGGGGCAGGGUGAGUCGACCCCUAAGGC
rnacentral:rRNA from 1 species